GGGGCUGUGGCUCAGUGGUAGAGCAUCUGCCUCGUUUGCAGAAGGUCCCAAGUUCAAUCCCCGGCAUCUCCA